rnacentral:rRNA from 1 species
UCUAUACGGAGUUACAAAGGACGACAUUAGACGAAUCAUCUGGAAAGAUGAAUCAAAGAAGGUAAUAAUCCUGUAGUCGAAAAUGUUGUCUCUCUUGAGUGGAUCCUGAGUACGACGGAGCACGUGAAAUUCCGUCGGAAUCUGGGAGGACCAUCUCCUAAGGCUAAAUACUCUCUAGUGACCGAUAGUGAACCAGUACCGUGAGGGAAAGGUGAAAAGCACCCCGGAAGGGGAGUGAAAUAGAACCUGAAACCGUGUGCUUACAAGUAGUCAGAGCCCGUUAAUGGGUGAUGGCGUGCCUUUUGUAGAAUGAACCGGCGAGUUACGAUUUGAUGCAAGGUUAAGCAGUAAAUGUGGAGCCGUAGCGAAAGCGAGUCUGAAUAGGGCGUUUAGUAUUUGGUCGUAGACCCGAAACCAGGUGAUCUACCCUUGGUCAGGUUGAAGUUCAGGUAACACUGAAUGGAGGACCGAACCGACUUACGUUGAAAAGUGAGCGGAUGAACUGAGGGUAGCGGAGAAAUUCCAAUCGAACCUGGAGAUAGCUGGUUCUCUCCGAAAUAGCUUUAGGGCUAGCCUCAAGUGAUGAUUAUUGGAGGUAGAGCACUGUUUGGACGAGGGGCCCCUCUCGGGUUACCGAAUUCAGACAAACUCCGAAUGCCAAUUAAUUUAACUUGGGAGUCAGAACAUGGGUGAUAAGGUCCGUGUUCGAAAGGGAAACAGCCCAGACCACCAGCUAAGGUCCCAAAAUAUAUGUUAAGUGGAAAAGGAUGUGGCGUUGCCCAGACAACUAGGAUGUUGGCUUAGAAGCAGCCAUCAUUUAAAGAGUGCGUAAUAGCUCACUAGUCGAGUGACACUGCGCCGAAAAUGUACCGGGGCUAAACAUAUUACCGAAGCUGUGGAUUGUCCUUUGGACAAUGGUAGGAGAGCGUUCUAAGGGCGUUGAAGCAUGAUCGUAAGGACAUGUGGAGCGCUUAGAAGUGAGAAUGCCGGUGUGAGUAGCGAAAGACGGGUGAGAAUCCCGUCCACCGAUUGACUAAGGUUUCCAGAGGAAGGCUCGUCCGCUCUGGGUUAGUCGGGUCCUAAGCUGAGGCCGACAGGCGUAGGCGAUGGAUAACAGGUUGAUAUUCCUGUACCACCUAUAAUCGUUUUAAUCGAUGGGGGGACGCAGUAGGAUAGGCGAAGCGUGCGAUUGGAUUGCACGUCUAAGCAGUAAGGCUGAGUAUUAGGCAAAUCCGGUACUCGUUAAGGCUGAGCUGUGAUGGGGAGAAGACAUUGUGUCUUCGAGUCGUUGAUUUCACACUGCCGAGAAAAGCCUCUAGAUAGAAAAUAGGUGCCCGUACCGCAAACCGACACAGGUAGUCAAGAUGAGAAUUCUAAGGUGAGCGAGCGAACUCUCGUUAAGGAACUCGGCAAAAUGACCCCGUAACUUCGGGAGAAGGGGUGCUCUUUAGGGUUAACGCCCAGAAGAGCCGCAGUGAAUAGGCCCAAGCGACUGUUUAUCAAAAACACAGGUCUCUGCUAAACCGUAAGGUGAUGUAUAGGGGCUGACGCCUGCCCGGUGCUGGAAGGUUAAGAGGAGUGGUUAGCUUCUGCGAAGCUACGAAUCGAAGCCCCAGUAAACGGCGGCCGUAACUAUAACGGUCCUAAGGUAGCGAAAUUCCUUGUCGGGUAAGUUCCGACCCGCACGAAAGGCGUAACGAUUUGGGCACUGUCUCAACGAGAGACUCGGUGAAAUCAUAGUACCUGUGAAGAUGCAGGUUACCCGCGACAGGACGGAAAGACCCCGUGGAGCUUUACUGUAGCCUGAUAUUGAAAUUCGGCACAGCUUGUACAGGAUAGGUAGGAGCCUUUGAAACGUGAGCGCUAGCUUACGUGGAGGCGCUGGUGGGAUACUACCCUAGCUGUGUUGGCUUUCUAACCCGCACCACUUAUCGUGGUGGGAGACAGUGUCAGGCGGGCAGUUUGACUGGGGCGGUCGCCUCCUAAAAGGUAACGGAGGCGCUCAAAGGUUCCCUCAGAAUGGUUGGAAAUCAUUCAUAGAGUGUAAAGGCAUAAGGGAGCUUGACUGCGAGACCUACAAGUCGAGCAGGGUCGAAAGACGGACUUAGUGAUCCGGUGGUUCCGCAUGGAAGGGCCAUCGCUCAACGGAUAAAAGCUACCCCGGGGAUAACAGGCUUAUCUCCCCCAAGAGUUCACAUCGACGGGGAGGUUUGGCACCUCGAUGUCGGCUCAUCGCAUCCUGGGGCUGUAGUCGGUCCCAAGGGUUGGGCUGUUCGCCCAUUAAAGCGGUACGCGAGCUGGGUUCAGAACGUCGUGAGACAGUUCGGUCCCUAUCCGUCGUGGGCGUAGGAAAUUUGAGAGGAGCUGUCCUUAGUACGAGAGGACCGGGAUGGACAUACCUCUGGUGUACCAGUUGUCGUGCCAACGGCAUAGCUGGGUAGCUAUGUGUGGACGGGAUAAGUGCUGAAAGCAUCUAAGCAUGAAGCCCCCCUCAAGAUGAGAUU